rnacentral:rRNA from 1 species
AUUGAACGCUGGCGGCAGGCCUAACACAUGCAAGUCGAACGAGUGGCGGACGGGUGAGUAAUGUCUGGGAAACUGCCUGAUGGAGGGGGAUAACUACUGGAAACGGUAGCUAAUACCGCAUACCAUCAGAUGUGCCCAGCGUGGAUGAUCUAGUUGGUGGGGUAACGGCUCACAAAGGCGACGAUCCCUAGCUGGUCCGAGAGGAUGACCAGCCACACUGGAACUGAGACACGGUCCAGACUCCUACGGGAGGCAGCAGUGGGGAAUAUUGCACAAUGGGCGAAAGCCUGAUGCAGCCAUGCCGCGUGUAUGAAGAAGGCCUUCGGGUUGUAAAGUACUGUCAGCGGGGAGGCGUUACCCGCAGAAGAAGCAACGGCUAACUCCGUGCCAGCAGCCGCGGUAAUUC